rnacentral:tRNA from 1 species
GCCACCUUAGUUCAAAGGUAAAACAAGUCCAUGGUAAGGAUUAGUUAUCAGUUCAAUUCUGGUAGGUGGCACCA